rnacentral:rRNA from 1 species
ACACGAGCGGCGAACGGGUGAGUAACACGUGGGUGAUCUGCCCUGUACUUCGGGAUAAGCCUGGGAAACUGGGUCUAAUACCGGAUAUGACCUUCGGUUGCAUGACCGUGGGUGGAAAGAUUUAUCGGUACAGGAUGGGCCCGCGGCCUAUCAGCUUGUUGGUGGGGUAAUGGCCUACCAAGGCGACGACGGGUAGCCGGCCUGAGAGGGCGACCGGCCACACUGGGACUGAGACACGGCCCAGACUCCUACGGGAGGCAGCAGUGGGGAAUAUUGCACAAUGGGCGAAAGCCUGAUGCAGCGACGCCGCGUGAGGGAUGACGGCCUUCGGGUUGUAAACCUCUUUCGACAGGGACGAAGCGCAAGUGACGGUACCUGUAGAAGAAGCACCGGCCAACUACGUGCCAGCAGCCGCGGUAAUACGUAGGGUGCGAGCGUUGUCCGGAAUUACUGGGCGUAAAGAGCUUGUAGGCGGUUCGUCGCGUCGUUCGUGAAAACUUGGGGCUCAACCCCAAGCUUGCGGGCGAUACGGGCGGACUAGAGUACUUCAGGGGAGACUGGAAUUCCUGGUGUAGCGGUGAAAUGCGCAGAUAUCAGGAGGAACACCGGUGGCGAAGGCGGGUCUCUGGGAAGUAACUGACGCUGAGAAGCGAAAGCGUGGGUAGCGAACAGGAUUAUAUACCCUGGUAGUCCACGCCGUAAACGGUGGGUACUAGGUGUGG